ACAGAACUAAUUUUUUUUCAGAAAAUUUUAUCUCAAGAAUACAUAUGAUCAGGGCUGGGAAUAUGGCCUAGAGGCAAGAGUGCUUGCCUCCUAUAUAUGAAGCCCUGGAUUCCAUUCCCCAGCACCACAUAUACAGAAAAUGGCCAGAAGUGGCGCUGCGGCUCAAGUGGC